rnacentral:misc_RNA from 1 species
AAGUCGUAACAAGGUUUCCGUAGGUGAACCUGCGGAAGGAUCAUUAUCGAGUUUUGAACGGGUUGUAGCUGGCCUCAUACUGUGGCAUGUGCACGCCUGUCUUCAUCCACUCUUCAACCUCUGUGCACUUAUUGUAGGCUGGUGAAGGGUCGCAUAGUAAUGUGCGGCUUGAAGCCUGGUCUACGUUUUACUACAAACGCUUCAGUUAUAGAAUGUCUAUCUGCGUAUAACGCAUUUAAUAUACAACUUUCAGCAACGGAUCUCUUGGCUCUC